rnacentral:rRNA from 1 species
UUGAAAGGGAAACGAUUGAAGUCAGUCAUACCAACGGGAAAUCAACCUUUUGAGCUCGGUCUCGUGGGUUUUGAAGAGUUUCAAAGCCUUCGGAUUCGCGGGAUUGGGAUCCCUCGGUGUACUUUCUCGUACGGUUAGUCAACAUCGGUUUUGAAUGUCAUAAAAUGACUGGAGGAAUGUAGCUUCGAUCUCGUAUUGAAGUGUUAUAGCCUUUGGUAGAUGUGAUGUUUGAGACCGAGGAUUGCAACGGAUACCCUUCAGGGCUAUUCGUCUGAUCUCUGAUACGUUGCCUUGAUGUUGAAAGCUUGCUUAUGAUGUUAGGGUAUUACGGUCAAAAGGUUAGAACGAAUUACAUUCGUUAAGGAUGUUGACGUA